rnacentral:rRNA from 1 species
UACUCCUACGGGAGGCAGCAGGGGGGAAUAUUGGGCAAUGGGCGAAAGCCUGACCCAGCAACGCCGCGUGAAGGAAGAAGGCCUUCGGGUUGUAAACUUCUUUUAUGAGGGACGAAGAAAGUGACGGUACCUCAUGAAUAAGCCACGGCUAACUACGUGCCAGCAGCCGCGGUAAUA